GACAGAGGCCUCGAGCGUUAGGCGGAAUCACUGGGCUUAAAGCGUGUGUAGGCGGGCCCGUAAGUGUCUUGUGAAAUCCCACGGCUCAACCGUGGAACUGCUGGGCAUACUGCGGGUCUUGGGCCAACUAGGGGCAGCCGGAACAAGCGGUGGAGCGGUGAAAUGCGUAGAUAUCGCUUGGAACGCCGAAGGUGAAAACAGGCUGCUGGGGUUGCGCCGACUCUGAGACACGAAAGCCAGGGGAGCAAACGGG
rnacentral:rRNA from 1 species